rnacentral:misc_RNA from 1 species
CUGAAGCUAUUUUAUCGACGUGCUUUGCUAUACUUUCCACUCGUGAUAAUCUUGUUAAUCUGUUUGAUUUAAAUUUAAAUUAUUUUAAAUUGUUCGGAAUGGAUUCAAAAAGUUAUGAAAAAAGAAUUAAGAAAAACCCUGAAAAAAGAUCCCACAGACUUUACAGCACUGUUGUGAUUAUUGAAAAAAACCAACCAACCAAAACAGUAGUUCCAGCUCACUGGGUUGACUCGGAUAGUUCUGUUGUUUAUUUUCCCCCAAAAGGGUACAAGGCAGUUGGUAUGUAUAUUGCAGAAUGGGCUGUACCAGAACCAGGGUGGCAGGAAUUUGAGUUUGUUGAGUACAUAUUAGAUUCUGGAACAUUAGAAACAUGUAACCAGAUGUUACAUUUUCAAACUGAAGAUGAGGCUGAAAAUUUAUCAAUACAAAAAAUUAAAAUGAAUAAAAGAGCUGCAAGUCCAGUGAUAGAUUUUGGGUCCAGUCCUACAUCGUCUUCUCAACGUUUUACACCUAGUGAUAUUUUGGAAACGCCUGCAACGUCUUCGAAAUUAAAUAUUGCAUCAUUGUUCAAACAAGAUCAUUCUUGUAAAACCACAAAUUUGUUUGAGAAGCCUUCAAAAGUGGGUGAUGGUGGUUCCUCAUUUAAAGAAAUGUCAAAUAAACAAUUUCAGUAUGCAAUUUUUAAAGAGUUGACAAAUGAAUUUACGCUGAUCAAGCAAAAUCAAAAAAAGAUUAUUGACCGCUUAGAUUUAUUAGAAAGCAAUUUUGUUAGUGUAAUGGGAGUAUCAAAUGACACAAUUGAAGCAGAUGUAAUUAUGAAGCCUAUUGACUCGUUGGAGAAGUUUGAUGAACAGGAAAAUACGUUAAACUCAAGUAAAGUAGCAAGGUUGCAGAAGGCACCUUUGUAACUUGUGUCAUAAUGGAUAGUUUGUUUUUCUGGUUGUAAUCUCAGGUUAUCCUUACGUUAAGUAAGGUUAUCCUGCUACUGGUGACAUGUAAUCAAGUGCAAUUUGCUUCAUGUUAAUGUCAGGAAGGGCAUCCGGUUAAAAAAUAUUGCUUCAACUCUUUCAUAAUGGCAUUUAGAUGUCAUUAUGAAGAACUAUCCAAACUACACAAGUGUGAUUUGUCAGAUUAGAAGUGUGGGUGGACCAACUCCGCGGAGAACUAUUAAGAGUGUGCUAGAUUGUGUAUUAGAGCGCAGCGUGCAAAAUUGUUUCAGCAAAAGAUGGGUUGAAAGGAAAGCGGAA